AGCUUGUGAUGGGCAUGUAAGAGUCAAAGGACACAAAUGAUUAAGACUAGCCAGGAAGGAUGAUGUAAGGGCAUCUCCAUUUCAGACCGCGGAGAACACAGCAAGGCUCUGCCUCGUGGAUCACAGAUAAAAAUAGCUGCUGUCCGCUGGUGCCAGGUACUUUUCAUGAUCUGUCACUGAGAGCUCACAGCCAAACUUCAUGAGACGGUGCUACAUUACUCUGCCUUCCUUGCAUGAGGAAUCCAAGGCCACAUGCGGUUUCGUCACUUGUCAAAGGUUAGCAUUGCCGAGGUUAGAACUGGGUCCCACUUUGAUCUGGUUCCAGAGCCUGAUCUCUUUACUGGUGUGUGGAGCGGACCGCAGGGAAACUGCUGCUCUCAGGAUGAGCUGCAGCUGUCUCAGUGUGGAACCAAGGUCUACAGUGGCUGCUGAGGUCAAUCUUAAAGAGAUGACUCACGCAUAAGGCCAAUCUACAUAAAUAGCAUGUGCUAAGAUUGCCAUCUGGUAGAACAAUCUACAUCACAAGACUCCACGUUUCCUGUUACCAGGCACCAGAGGACCAAGCGGCAGCUUCUCAAAAAGAGUUCAUUUUUUUGUGAUUUUGGGAUGUUACAUUACUCUCCAAUUUGAAAUGCCACAAAGGAAAAGAUUCUGGAGAAAUUUCUCCCUCCUCCGCUGUGAGACAAAACUACUCUGUUGCACAGAAACUGUGAAGUUAUUGGUGAACACUGAGGAUCUCGAUGCAUGGAUUCUUUUGUGUUACUGAUCAAUAUUAAGCAUGGAUUUUACUCUUCUUCUGAAGGGCUUGGCUUAAAAAUAAACUAGUGCAGCACUUUCA